AACAAAAACAUGGCCUUUAGAGAGGAAAUUUAAGGUCGGGCCUGCCCACUGAAGUAGUUGAAGGGCCGCGGUAUUUUGACCGUGCAAAGGUAGCAUAAUCAUUAGUCUUUUAAUUGAGGGCUGGAAUGAAUGGUUUGACGAAAUAUUGACUGUCUCUUUAUAAUAAAUAGAAUUUAACUUUUGAGUCAAAAGGCUUAAAUGAAUAUAAAAGACGAGAAGACCCUAUAGAUCUUUAUAUAGUUCUAUAAUUGCUUUAUUUGGUUGUUUUAUUUACGAUUAUUUAACUAUAUUUUGUUGGGGUGACAUGAAGAUAAAAAUAACUCUUUAUAAUAAGAACAUUGAUUUAUGGAUGAUUGAUCCGUUAUUAACGAUUAUAAGAUAAAGUUACCUUAGGGAUAACAGCGUAAUUUUUUUUGAGAGUUCUUAUCGACAAAAAAGAUUGCGACCUCGAUGUUGGAUUAAGGAAUAUGAUUAGGUGUAGCAGUUUAAUUAAUAAGUCUGUUCGACUUUUAAAUCCUUACGUCAUCUGAGUUCAGACCCGGA
rnacentral:rRNA from 1 species